rnacentral:rRNA from 1 species
UUAAGCGACUAAGCGUACACGGUGGAUGCCCUGGCAGUCAGAGGCGAUGAAGGACGUGCUAAUCUGCGAUAAGCGUCGGUAAGGUGAUAUGAACCGUUAUAACCGGCGAUUUCCGAAUGGGGAAACCCAGUGUGAUUCGUCACACUAUCAUUAACUGAAUCCAUAGGUUAAUGAGGCGAACCGGGGGAACUGAAACAUCUAAGUACCCCGAGGAAAAGAAAUCAACCGAGAUUCCCCCAGUAGCGGCGAGCGAACGGGGAGGAGCCCAGAGCCUGAAUCAGUGUGUGUGUUAGUGGAAGCGUCUGGAAAGGCGCGCGAUACAGGGUGACAGCCCCGUACACAAAAAUGCACAUACUGUGAGCUCGAUGAGUAGGGCGGGACACGUGGUAUCCUGUCUGAAUAUGGGGGGACCAUCCUCCAAGGCUAAAUACUCCUGACUGACCGAUAGUGAACCAGUACCGUGAGGGAAAGGCGAAAAGAACCCCGGCGAGGGGAGUGAAAAAGAACCUGAAACCGUGUACGUACAAGCAGUGGGAGCCUCUUUAUGGGGUGACUGCGUACCUUUUGUAUAAUGGGUCAGCGACUUAUAUUCUGUAGCAAGGUUAACCGAAUAGGGGAGCCGAAGGGAAACCGAGUCUUAACUGGGCGUUAAGUUGCAGGGUAUAGACCCGAAACCCGGUGAUCUAGCCAUGGGCAGGUUGAAGGUUGGGUAACACUAACUGGAGGACCGAACCGACUAAUGUUGAAAAAUUAGCGGAUGACUUGUGGCUGGGGGUGAAAGGCCAAUCAAACCGGGAGAUAGCUGGUUCUCCCCGAAAGCUAUUUAGGUAGCGCCUCGUGAAUUCAUCUCCGGGGGUAGAGCACUGUUUCGGCAAGGGGGUCAUCCCGACUUACCAACCCGAUGCAAACUGCGAAUACCGGAGAAUGUUAUCACGGGAGACACACGGCGGGUGCUAACGUCCGUCGUGAAGAGGGAAACAACCCAGACCGCCAGCUAAGGUCCCAAAGUCAUGGUUAAGUGGGAAACGAUGUGGGAAGGCCCAGACAGCCAGGAUGUUGGCUUAGAAGCAGCCAUCAUUUAAAGAAAGCGUAAUAGCUCACUGGUCGAGUCGGCCUGCGCGGAAGAUGUAACGGGGCUAAACCAUGCACCGAAGCUGCGGCAGCGACACUAUGUGUUGUUGGGUAGGGGAGCGUUCUGUAAGCCUGUGAAGGUGUACUGUGAGGUAUGCUGGAGGUAUCAGAAGUGCGAAUGCUGACAUAAGUAACGAUAAAGCGGGUGAAAAGCCCGCUCGCCGGAAGACCAAGGGUUCCUGUCCAACGUUAAUCGGGGCAGGGUGAGUCGACCCCUAAGGCGAGGCCGAAAGGCGUAGUCGAUGGGAAACAGGUUAAUAUUCCUGUACUUGGUGUUACUGCGAAGGGGGGACGGAGAAGGCUAUGUUGGCCGGGCGACGGUUGUCCCGGUUUAAGCGUGUAGGCUGAUUUUCCAGGCAAAUCCGGAAAAUCAAGGCUGAGGCGUGAUGACGAGGCACUACGGUGCUGAAGCAACAAAUGCCCUGCUUCCAGGAAAAGCCUCUAAGCAUCAGGUAACAUCAAAUCGUACCCCAAACCGACACAGGUGGUCAGGUAGAGAAUACCAAGGCGCUUGAGAGAACUCGGGUGAAGGAACUAGGCAAAAUGGUGCCGUAACUUCGGGAGAAGGCACGCUGAUAUGUAGGUGAAGCGACUUGCUCGUGGAGCUGAAAUCAGUCGAAGAUACCAGCUGGCUGCAACUGUUUAUUAAAAACACAACACUGUGCAAACACGAAAGUGGACGUAUACGGUGUGACGCCUGCCCGGUGCCGGAAGGUUAAUUGAUGGGGUUAGCGGUAACGCGAAGCUCUUGAUCGAAGCCCCGGUAAACGGCGGCCGUAACUAUAACGGUCCUAAGGUAGCGAAAUUCCUUGUCGGGUAAGUUCCGACCUGCACGAAUGGCGUAAUGAUGGCCAGGCUGUCUCCACCCGAGACUCAGUGAAAUUGAACUCGCUGUGAAGAUGCAGUGUACCCGCGGCAAGACGGAAAGACCCCGUGAACCUUUACUAUAGCUUGACACUGAACAUUGAGCCUUGAUGUGUAGGAUAGGUGGGAGGCUUUGAAGUGUGGACGCCAGUCUGCAUGGAGCCGACCUUGAAAUACCACCCUUUAAUGUUUGAUGUUCUAACGUUGACCCGUGAUCCGGGUUGCGGACAGUGUCUGGUGGGUAGUUUGACUGGGGCGGUCUCCUCCUAAAGAGUAACGGAGGAGCACGAAGGUUGGCUAAUCCUGGUCGGACAUCAGGAGGUUAGUGCAAUGGCAUAAGCCAGCUUGACUGCGAGCGUGACGGCGCGAGCAGGUGCGAAAGCAGGUCAUAGUGAUCCGGUGGUUCUGAAUGGAAGGGCCAUCGCUCAACGGAUAAAAGGUACUCCGGGGAUAACAGGCUGAUACCGCCCAAGAGUUCAUAUCGACGGCGGUGUUUGGCACCUCGAUGUCGGCUCAUCACAUCCUGGGGCUGAAGUAGGUCCCAAGGGUAUGGCUGUUCGCCAUUUAAAGUGGUACGCGAGCUGGGUUUAGAACGUCGUGAGACAGUUCGGUCCCUAUCUGCCGUGGGCGCUGGAGAACUGAGGGGGGCUGCUCCUAGUACGAGAGGACCGGAGUGGACGCAUCACUGGUGUUCGGGUUGUCAUGCCAAUGGCACUGCCCGGUAGCUAAAUGCGGAAGAGAUAAGUGCUGAAAGCAUCUAAGCACGAAACUUGCCCCGAGAUGAGUUCUCCCUGACUCCUUGAGAGUCCUGAAGGAACGUUGAAGACGACGACGUUGAUAGGCCGGGUGUGUAAGCGCAGCGAUGCGUUGAGCUAACCGGUACUAAUGAACCGUGAGGCUUAACCUU